UACGUAGGGUGCAAGCGUUAUCCGGAAUUAUUGGGCGUAAAGAGCUCGUAGGCGGUUUGUCGCGUCUGCUGUGAAAACCCGAGGCUCAACCUCGGGCCUGCAGUGGGUACGGGCAGACUGGAGUGCGGUAGGGGAGAUUGGAAUUCCUGGUGUAGCGGUGGAAUGCGUAGAUAUCUGGAGGAACACCGGUGGCGAAGGCGGCAUCCUGGACCGGUAUUGACGCUGAUGCGCGAAAGCCAGGGGAGCAAACGGG
rnacentral:rRNA from 1 species